UUAGAAGUGUCAAACCUUAUUUGACACAUCUCAUCAUAUAUUCUUAACAUGUCGUCUCUUAUACAGAUCAUAACUCUUUCUAUGAUAUAAUACAUAUUAUUUAACACACAGUUUGCUAUAAAUAUUUUUAAAAUAUAUGUUUGAAUUUGCAAAACUACAAUUUUUCUAUUACUUUUUUGCAACAAUACCCUUCUCUGUUGUCCAUUUUUAAAAAUAUCAUUUCUCUUGAACAAAAUGAUCAAAUUACCCUGAUCGUAUGAGAACAGGUAAUUAGAAAAUGAAAUUUUCCCGCCUAAAAU
rnacentral:sRNA from 1 species